CACAAGCGGUGGAGCAUGUGGUUUAAUUCGAUGCAACGCGAGGAACCUUUACCAGGGCUUGACAUAGACACGACGGUUGUAGAGAUACAGCUUCUCUUCGGAGCGUGUUUACAGGUGCUGCAUGGCUGUCGUCAGCUCGUGCUGUGAAGUGUUGGGUUAAGUCCCGCAACGAGCGCAACCCUUGCUGUCUGUUGCCAACAGGUUAAGCUGGGGACUCGGACGGUACUGCCGGUGACAAACCGGAGGAAGGUGGGACGACGUCAAGUCAUCAUGGCCCUUAUGUCCUGGGCUACACACGUACUACAAUGGCUGGUACAGAGCGAUGCGAAACCGCGAGGUAGAGCGAAUCGCAGAAAACCGGUCUCAGUUCGGAUUGAAGUCUGAAACCCGACUUCAUGAAGUUGGAAUCGCUAGUAAUCGCGCAUCAGCAUGGCGCGGUGAAUAUGUUCCCGGGCCUU
rnacentral:rRNA from 1 species